UGGGACUAGGUCUCAUGUGCAGCCCAGAGGUAAAGGUUUUAGCUAGAGAGAAACGUCCUCUAAAAAUGACACAAAUGCCGCCCUUAGCAUCUAUUUCUCAAUACUUUCCCAAAACAGGAUAUUAUGCUGUUUUCUCCAUCAGCCCCCGUUGGCAGCUGGUGCCAAUCAGGGGGUUUGCAGGAGCAGGAUUGUCUGAUGAAAUGCAGGACGGAUGCCUCGUUAGGUAUGAACUUCAGAUGAACAGCCAACACUUGCUUGAUAAUAACCCUGACACAUUGUUGCUGCUGGUAUUAUACAACUUACGGGUGAAAGAAAAUUGGUGUUCAGAGAAGUGAAUGACUUGCUCAUGACGCAGAGGCAGCCAUGACCACAGUGGCGUCAGCCUCCUUCGUUGCUUGCAUGCUUUAUUGGCCAAAGGAAGGAUUCAGACAACUCAAGUGGGAAGUGGUAAGUUACUUUCCCCACACUGGUUGCGAAAUGUCAAUCCUACCACAUGUGUGCCCAGAAAGAGGAGAACCAGAAUAUGUGGGAAUAGUCCUGUUAUUACUGUUGCACUUAACAGCAGUCAAUUGAAAUCCUUCUUAUUUUUGGUCCUUU